AUAAACCGGGCUCCCUGUCGGUUGUAAUUGAUAAUGUUGAGAGUUCCCCG
rnacentral:sRNA from 1 species